rnacentral:piRNA from 1 species
GUGUCCUCAUUAGGGGAAGACUCAGCAAUGC